CUGUUUAGACUACACCGUGCUGUUUGCUGGAACGUGAAACCCUUUUAUAACAACUACGUCUGAGUCAGCGAUCUCAUUUGGUGAUUUGCAUAUUUGGUCUCUGAGGAAAUCAAGGUUAAAUAUAGAGAGAAGAUCCUGCUGGCUUGAACUGAAUAAAGCCUUGUUCCUGAUGGUUUGUCUGGAUGGGCCUGGUCUGAGUUGCACACACACUGACACAUAACUCAGAGCACACAAAGGAGCCUCAGGCCAAGUUUCCCAAAGUUGUGUAAAAAGUCACAAGGCAGGCUUCCUCUAUCUUUAACAACCUCAUACUGGGCCAGUGAACAGGAGAAGGGGUUACAUUUUUUUAGUUAUUUGUGCCAUGACUCAGAUAGGGAAGUUUAAUUUUUUGCACACAGUAGGGAAGCUGCCACACAAGAGA